AUACGGAGGGUGCGAGCGUUAUCCGGAUUUAUUAGGUUUAAAGGGUGUGUAGGCGGGAGCCUAAGUCAGUGGUGAAAUCUCACAGCUUAACUGUGAAACUGCCAUUGAAGCUGGGUUUCUUGAGUAUAGUUGAGGUAGGCGGAAUGCGUAAUGUAGCGGUGAAAUGCAUAGAUAUUACACAGAACACCGAUUGCGAAGGCAGCUUACUAAGCUAUUACUGACGCUGAUGCACGAAAGCGUGGGUAGCGAACAGGAUUAGAAACCCGAGUAGUCC
rnacentral:rRNA from 1 species